rnacentral:rRNA from 1 species
CAGCCGCGGUAAUACGUAGGUGGCAAGCGUUAUCCGGAAUUAUUGGGCGUAAAGCGCGCGUAGGCGGAUUCUUAAGUCAGCGGUCAAAUGGCGGGGCUCAACCCCGUCCAGCCGUUGAAACUGGGUAGCUUGAGUCGGCGAGAAGUACGCGGAAUGCGCGGUGUAGCGGUGAAAUGCAUAGAUAUCGCGCAGAACUCCGAUUGCGAAGGCAGCGUACCGGCGCCGCACUGACGCUGAGGCACGAAAGCGUGGGUAUCGAACAG